UGGCACCAAAGGAAAAAAAAUGAACAGUCUUUCUUUUGCCUUUCACUCUUUCCCCUCUUCUCCCAGAGAGUUAGUUUUGGCUUUAGAAGCAGCUGCCACACAGGCAUUUAGUUAUUUCACCCAUUAAAAGGACCAGGACGCCCCUCCCCCCCCAGUCCGCUACAUAAAAUGCAAAGCUGUGUGUUUAGAGUUUAUGAACUACCUUCCAGCAAGUACCUCGGCAAUGCAAACAGCACGGCAGCUCUCCCCCGUGCGCUAGCUUGGCUGCUCUGUUUGCUGGGGGGGGGGGUCCGGUCCCUGACACCGUUCCUCCGCGCAGCCGGCUUUGCCCGCAGCCUCUGCGCUUGCUGAAACGGCUCCGCGGGGCUAUGAUGAACCCAGCAAGCGCGGCGCUCCCAGGGCUCCACGCUAGCCCCAAAACAAGCCAGAGCAGUAGGGGUGCGUGUGUAUACAUAUACAUCUGUAUCCCCAUCAGGCAGCAGAACCACCAGGUCAGAGAAUCUGGAAGAGAGAGAGAGAGAGUGUGUGUGUGUGUGUGUGUUGGGGGGGAGACACAGCUCGGGAUGGCAGAGCGGGAUGGGGAAAGGCGGUGUUACGUUUGCACCCGAAGUCACCUGUGGCUGCCUGCUGGGACAAGGAGCCGGCGGGUGGGUGCCGGGGUGCCGGCAGCACCCCCCGUCUCCCCGUGCUCGGGGUCGGGCGGGCGGCGGGGUGGACAGGCUCUGCUCGGCGCUUCCCAGCUCCCCUCCGGGGACUGAGCCGACUGAAUGGGGAAGCCUCCUCGCUGAGUUUCCCUCGCACUGGAAGUGCUCCAAACACACGCGCACACAUACGCACAACCCUUGCACAGGAUUCCUACCAACACACCCCCCUCGCAUAGGAUUACAUACAUAACCCUUGCACAAGAUUGCUCCCAGCACACACACAAACACCCCGGCUUGCAUCGGAUUCCACCCCUCCUCCCCUUGCACACACAGGACCCCUCCCACCCCCCUCCGGGAAGCAGAAGUUCAAAGGGCUUUGACUCCGUCCUCCCGAGGUGGGACGCGGAGGAUCGGCGCGUGGGUAAGUGUGCGAGUGUGUGCGCGCGUGUGUCACACGGCUGGAAGGGGCUCGCCCGCGCCCUCCGGAGGGAGCCUCCCCCCGCCUGGGGCCGAGGGAGCCCCGGGCCCUGCAGCCUCCUGGGAAACAGCCCCGGGAUGGGGGAAGAGAGGCCGAAGCGGUUCUGCAAAAAGUUUCGAAGGACGAGUCUGCUGGGUAGCGCUUGCACACGCGCGCCCGCGGGCGGGCACACGCACGCCCAGGCGGCGCACGUGGGCCAGCGGCGUUGCGCCUUGUGUGCGUGUCCUCCCUACACACACACACACACACACACCUUGACAAGCCCAAACUCUCCCUGCGGAGUUAUGUGGGUCUUCCUGUGGGGACAGGGCUCGCCCUCCAGCUCCACCCACAGACAAGUCCUAGACUCAGUAGUAGGGAAUGACCCCCCCAUAACGCACACACGUAGGGUUAUCCUAGGGGGUGUCCCCGACACACACUUGACAAGCCCCGGCGGAGUUAUCCUAGGGGUGUCCCCGUGGGGACACGGCUCCCUCCAGCUCCAGCUCCAGCCAGGAGGAGCCCUGGACUGAGCAGCAGGGAAGGGCGCUCCCCCCCCCCCUGACACGCACACGCACAAAAUAAAAAGAGAGUUGUUGA